AGGAAGGGCAUUUGGUGGAUGCCUUGGCAUGCACAGGCGAUGAAGGACGUGGCACGCUGCGAUAAGCCACGGGGAGGGGCGAGCACCCUUUGAUCCGUGGAUUUCCGAAUGGGGAAACCCGACCCUUUAGGGUCAUCCUCUGCUGAAUACAUAGGCAGGGGAAGCAAACCCGGUGAACUGAAACAUCUCAGUAACCGGAGGAAAGGACAUCAACCGAGACUCCGUUAGUAGUGGCGAGCGAACGCGGACCAGGCCAGUGGCAAUUGUGUAAGAACCGGAACCGUCUGGAAAGUCGGGCCAUAGCGGGUGAUAGCCCCGUACGGGUAGAAAGCAUUUUUGUCCUCGAGUAAGGCGGGGCACGUGAAACCCUGUCUGAACGUGGGGGGACCAUCCUCCAAGCCUAAGUACUCCUUAUCGACCGAUAGUGAAC
rnacentral:rRNA from 14 species